AAAAAGGUCUUAUUAAAGACCAUCUUCAUUUUAGUUUUGUGCUUGG
rfam:Mollicutes bacterium HR2 KQ78_contig000009, whole genome shotgun sequence.